UUUCCGUAGGUGAACCUGCGGAAGGAUCAUUCAUAAUAAAGUGUUUUAUGGCACUUUUUAAAAAUCCAUAUCCACCUUGUGUGCAAUGUUAGAUCACGUAAAUCUUGGCGAGAUUUUUAUACAUCAACUCAUUCUUUAACUAAUUUGUCUGAAAAAUAUUAUGAAUACUUAAUUCAAAAUACAACUUUCAACAACGGAUCUCUUGGCUCUC
rnacentral:misc_RNA from 1 species